rnacentral:rRNA from 1 species
AGCGAACGCUGGCGGCAGGCUUAACACAUGCAAGUCGAACGCCCCGCAAGGGGAGUGGCAGACGGGUGAGUAACACGUGGGAACGUACCCUUUGGUUCGGAAUAACUUGGGGAAACUCAAGCUAAUACCGGAUAAGCCCUUAUGGGGAAAGGUUUACUGCCGAAGGAUCGGCCCGCGUCUGAUUAGCUAGUUGGUGAGGUAAUGGCUCACCAAGGCGACGAUCAGUAGCUGGUCUGAGAGGAUGAUCAGCCACACUGGGACUGAGACACGGCCCAGACUCCUACGGGAGGCAGCAGUGGGGAAUAUUGGACAAUGGGGGCAACCCUGAUCCAGCCAUGCCGCGUGAGUGAUGAAGGCCCUAGGGUUGUAAAGCUCUUUUACCCGGGACGAUAAUGACUGUACCGGGAGAAUAAGCCCCGGCUAACUUCGUGCCAGCAGCCGCCGUAA